GAUGAACGCUGGCGGCGUGCCUAAUACAUGCAAGUCGAGCGAACAGACGAGGAGCUUGCUCCUCUGACGUUAGCGGCGGACGGGUGAGUAACACGUGGAUAACCUACCUAUAAGACUGGGAUAACUUCGGGAAACCGGAGCUAAUACCGGAUAAUAUAUUGAACCGCAUGGUUCAAUAGUGAAAGACGGUUUUGCUGUCACUUAUAGAUGGAUCCGCGCCGCAUUAGCUAGUUGGUAAGGUAACGGCUUACCAAGGCAACGAUGCGUAGCCGACCUGAGAGGGUGAUCGGCCACACUGGAACUGAGACACGGUCCAGACUCCUACGAGAGGCAGCAGUAGGGAAUCUUCCGCAAUGGGCGAAAGCCUGACGGAGCAACGCCGCGUGAGUGAUGUAGGUCUUCGGAUCAUAAAACUCUGUUAUUAGGGAAGAACAAAUGUGUAAGUAACUAUGCACGUCUUUACGGUACCUAAUCAGAAAGCCACGGCUAACUACGUG
rnacentral:rRNA from 1 species